UACGAAGGGGGCUAGCGUUGCUCGGAAUUACUGGGCGUAAAGGGCGCGUAGGCGGUUCGUACAGGCGGGCGUGAAAUUCCUGGGCUCAACCUGGGGGCUGCGUUCGAUACGUGCGGACUAGAGUGGGGAAGAGGGUCGUGGAAUUCCCAGUGUAGAGGUGAAAUUCGUAGAUAUUGGGAAGAACACCGGUGGCGAAGGCGGCGACCUGGACUGCAACUGACACUGAUAAACGAAAGCCAGGGUAGCAAACGGG
rnacentral:rRNA from 1 species